AUUGAACGCUGGCGGCAGGCCUAACACAUGCAAGUCGAACGAGUGGCGGACGGGUGAGUAAUGUCUGGGAAACUGCCUGAUGGAGGGGGAUAACACUUGGAAACAGGUGCUAAUACCGCAUACUGAUGGAUGGACCCGCGGUGCAUUAGCUAGUUGGUGAGGUAACGGCUCACCUAGGCGACGAUCCCUAGCUGGUCUGAGAGGAUGACCAGCCACACUGGAACUGAGAAACGGUCCAGACUCCUACGGGAGGCAGCAGUGGGGAAUAUUGCACAAUGGGCGCAAGCCUGAUGCAGCCAUGCCGCGUGUAUGAAGAAGGCCUUCGGGUUGUAAAGUACUUUCAGCGGGGAGGCGUUACCCGCAGAAGAAGCACCGGCUAACUCCGUGCCAGCAGCCGCGGUAAUAC
rnacentral:rRNA from 1 species